GUAUCCGUUCUUGAAGAAAGAAGACUGGAAACUAUUUGUAUCACAAAGAACUUCAAAACAAUGGGAGGAGACAAGUAAGAAGGCAAAGAAAGUCCGUGCACAUCAUAAAUACAAUCAUCAUUUGAGCAGAAAGGGAUAUGCCAGACUCACUACUGAGAUUAUGCAAGAAACCGGCCUGGAGGAAGAGGAGAUUGAUAGGGCAAUGUUGUGGAAACGAGCAAGAGAACUGAAAAUAGGAGGUUUCGACUCAGAUGUCCAAGUGGUAGUUGAUAGAAUU
rnacentral:lncRNA from 1 species